rnacentral:rRNA from 1 species
AUUGAACGCUGGCGGCAGGCUUAACACAUGCAAGUCGAGCGGUAACAGAGAGAAGCUUGCUUCUCUGCUGACGAGCGGCGGACGGGUGAGUAAUGCCUAGGAAUCUGCCUAGUAGUGGGGGAUAACUCGCCGAAAGGUAAGCUAAGACCGCAUACGGCCUACGGGAGACAGGAGGGGACCUUCGGGUCUGUCGCUAUGAGAUUCGCAUAGGUGGGAGUAGUUAGUUGUGUAGGUAAUGGCUCACCAAGACCGCGAUCAGUAACUGGUCUGAGAGGAUGAUCAGUCACACUGGAACUGAGACACGGUCCAGACGCCUACGGGAGGCAGCGGUGGGGAAUAUUGGACAAUGGGGGGAACCCUGAUCCAGCCAUGCCGCGUGUGUGAAGAAGGUCUUAGGAUUGUAAAGCACUUUAAGGUGGGAGGAAGAGCAGUUAACGAAUAUUUGACUGUUUUGACGUUACCGACAGAAUAAGCACCGGCUAACUUCGUGCCAGCCGCCGCCGUAA